GACAGAGGGUGCAAACGUUGUUCGGAAUCACUGGGCGUAAAGGGCGCGUAGGUGGCUUCUCAAGCGCGCGGUGAAAGCCCGGGGCUCAACCCCGGGUCGGCCGUGCGAACUGCUGGGCUUGAGCACUGUAGAGGCAGGCGGAAUUCCGGGGUGUAGCGGUGGAAUGCGUAGAGAUCCGGAAGAACACCGGUGGCGAAGGCGGCCUGCUGGGCAGUGGCUGACACUGAGGCGCGACAGCGUGGGGAGCAAACAGG
rnacentral:rRNA from 1 species